GGAGGUGUCGCAUAGUGGUCUAGUGCGCUCGUCUUGAAAACGAGAGUGCCGCAAGGCACCGUGAGUUCGAAUCCCACCACCUCCG
rfam:Parcubacteria bacterium C7867-006 C7867_00116, whole genome shotgun sequence.